rnacentral:tRNA from 1 species
GGGAAUAUAGCUUAGUGGUAGAGUGCUUGCCUUGCAUGCAUGAAGCCCUGGGUUCGAUUCCUCAGUACCA